AACGAACGCUGGCGGCAGGCUUAACACAUGCAAGUCGAACGAGAUCUUCGGAUCUAGUGGCAGACGGGUGAGGAACACGUGGGAACAUCCCUUUCAGUUCGGAAUAACGUUGGGAAACUAACGCUAAUACCGGAUACGUCCUUCGGGAGAAAGAUUUAUCGCUGAAAGAUUGGCCCGCGUCUGAUUAGCUAGUUGGUGAGGUAAUGGCUCACCAAGGCUACGAUCAGUAGCUGAUCUGAGAGGAUGAUCAGCCACAUUGGGAAUGAGACACGGCCCAAACUCCUAGGGGAGACAGCAGUGGGGAAUAUUGGACAAUGGGCGCAAGCCUGAUCCAGCCAUGCCGCGUGAGUGAUGAAGGCCUUCGGGUUGUAAAGCUCUUUUAUCCGGGAAGAUAAUGACUGUACCGGAAGAAUAAGCCCCGGCAAACUUCGUGCCAGCCGCCGCGGUAA
rnacentral:rRNA from 1 species